rnacentral:rRNA from 1 species
CGAAGGCAGCUUUCUGGAUCAUUACUGACACUGAGGAACGAAAGCAUGGGUAGCGAAGAGGAUUAGAUACCCUCGUAGUCCAUGCCGUAAACGAUGUGUGUUAGACGUUGGAAAUUUAUUUUCAGUGUCGCAGGGAAACCGAUAAACACACCGCCUGGGGAGUACGACCGCAAGGUUAAAACUCAAAUGAAUUGACGGGGACCCGCACAAGUAGUGGAGCAUGUGGUUUAAUUCGAAGAUACGCGCAGAACCUUACCAACACUUGACAUGUUCGUCGCGACUCUAAGAGAUUAGAGUUUUCGGUUCGGCCGGACGAAACACAGGUGCUGCAUGGCUGUCGUCAGCUCGUGUCGUGAGAUGUUGGGUUAAGUCCCGCAACGAGCGCAACCCUCACUUUUAGUUGCCAUCAUUAAGUUGGGCACUCUGAAAGAACUGCCAGUGAUAAGCUGGAGGAAGGUGGGGAUGACGUCAAGUCCUCAUGGCCCUUACGUGUUGGGCUACACACGUGCUACAAUGGCAUCUACAACAGGAAGCAAAACGGCAACGUUAAGCAAAUCCCGAAAAGAUGCCUCAGUUCGGAUUGCACUCUGCAACUCGAGUGCAUGAAGCUGGAAUUACUAGUAAUCGUGGAUCAGCGUGCCACGGUGAAUGCGUUCCCGGGUCUUGUACACACCGCCCGUCACACCAUGGGAGUUGGUUCUACCUUAAGGCAAGGUUUCAAACCCUUGACCACGGUAUAGUCAGCGACUGGGGUGAAGUCGUAACAAGGUAGCCGUA